GCCGGGUGUGGUGGCGGGCACCUGUAAUCCCAGCUACUUGGGAGGCUGAGACAGGAGAAUCGCUUGAACCCAGGAGGUGGAGGUUGCUGUGAGCCGAGAUUGUGCCACUGCACUUCAGCCUGGGUGACACAGCAAAACUCUGUCUCAA
rnacentral:SRP_RNA from 1 species